UACGAAGGGUGCAAACGUUGUUCGGAAUUACUGGGCGUAAAGCGUGUGUAGGCGGUCCACUAAGUCGGAUGUGAAAGCCCUGGGCUCAACCCAGGAAGUGCACUCGAAACUGGCGGGCUAGAGUAUCGGAGAGGUUGGUGGAAUUCUCGGUGUAGAGGUGAAAUUCGUAGAUAUCGAGAGGAACACCGGUGGCGAAGGCGGCCAACUGGACGAAUACUGACGCUGAGACACGAAAGCGUGGGGAGCAAACAGG
rnacentral:rRNA from 1 species